AGUGAACGCUGGCGGUAGGCCUAACACAUGCAAGUCGAACGGCAGCACAGGAGAGCUUGCUCUCUGGGUGGCGAGUGGCGGACGGGUGAGGAAUACAUCGGAAUCUACUUUUUCGUGGGGGAUAACGUAGGGAAACUUACGCUAAUACCGCAUACGACCUACGGGUGAAAGCAGGGGAUCUUCGGACCUUGCGCGGUUGAAUGAGCCGAUGUCGGAUUAGCUAGUUGGCGGGGUAAAGGCCCACCAAGGCGACGAUCCGUAGCUGGUCUGAGAGGAUGAUCAGCCACACUGGAACUGAGACACGGUCCAGACUCCGACGGGAGGCAGUAGUGGGGAAUAUUGGACAAUGGGCGCAAGCCUGAUCCAGCCAUACCGCGUGGGUGAAGAAGGCCUUCGGGUUGUAAAGCCCUUUUGUUGGGAAAGAAAUCCAGCUGGUUAAUACCCGGUUGGGAUGACGGUACCCAAAGAAUAAGCACCGGCUAACUUCGUGCCAGCAGCCGCCGUAA
rnacentral:rRNA from 1 species